rnacentral:rRNA from 1 species
GACGAACGCUGGCGGCGUGCUUAACACAUGCAAGUCGAACGGAAAGGCCCUGCUUUUGUGGGGUGCUCGAGUGGCGAACGGGUGAGUAACACGUGAGUAACCUGCCCUUGACUUUGGGAUAACUUCAGGAAACUGGGGCUAAUACCGGAUAGGAGCUCCUGCUGCAUGGUGGGGGUUGGAAAGUUUCGGCGGGUGGGGAUGAACUCGCGGCUGAUCCGCUUGUUGGUGGGGUAGGGGCUUACCCAGGCUGUGACGGGUCGCCGGCCUGCGAGGGGGCCCGGCCAGGUGGGGAGUGAGAGACGGGGCGGGCUCCUACGGGAGGCAGCAGUGGGGAAUAUUGCACAAGGGGCGGAAGCCUGAUGCAGCAACGCCGCGUGCGGGAUGACGGCCUUCGGGUUGUAAACCGCUUUCGCCUGUGACGAAGCGUGAGUGACGGUAAUGGGUAAAGAAGCACCGGCUAACUACGUG